GACGGGACCGCACAAGCGUGGAUGAUGUGGUUAAUUCGAUGCAACGCGAAAACCUUACCACCUUGACACGUACGGAAGUUGCCAGAGAUGGCUUCGUGCUCGAAAGAGAGCCGUAACACAGGUGCUGCAUGGCUGUCGUCAGCUCGUGUCGUGAGAUGUUGGGUUAAGUCCCGCAACGAGCGCAACCCUUGUCAUUAGUUGCUACGAAAGGGCACUCUAAUGAGACUGCCGGUGACAAACCGGAGGAAGGUGGGGAUGACGUCAAGUCCUCAUGGCCCUUAUAGGUGGAGCUACACACGUCAUACAAUGGCUGGUACAAAGGGUUGCCAACCCGCGAGGGGGAGCCAAUCCCAUAAAGCCAGUCGUAGUCCGGAUCGCAGUCUGCAACUCGACUGCGUGAAGUCGGAAUCGCUAGUAAUCGUGGAUCAGCAUGUCACGGUGAAUACGUUCCCGGGUCUU
rnacentral:rRNA from 1 species